rnacentral:rRNA from 1 species
AGAGUUUGAUCCUGGCUCAGGAUGAACGCUAGCGGCAGGCCUAACACAUGCAAGUCGAGGGGUAGAGUUAGCUUGCUAACUUGAGACCGGCGCACGGGUGCGUAACGCGUAUGCAAUCUACCUUGUACAGGGGGAUAGCCCAGAGAAAUUUGGAUUAAUACCCCAUAGUAUAUUUGAAUCGCAUGGUUUAUAUAUUAAAGUUCCAACGGUACAAGAUGAGCAUGCGUCCCAUUAGCUAGAUGGUAAGGUAACGGCUUACCAUGGCAAUGAUGGGUAGGGGUCCUGAGAGGGAGAUCCCCCACACUGGUACUGAGACACGGACCAGACUCCUACGGGAGGCAGCAGUGAGGAAUAUUGGUCAAUGGACGCAAGUCUGAACCAGCCAUGCCGCGUGCAGGAAGACGGUCCUAUGGAUUGUAAACUGCUUUUAUACAGGAAGAAACAACUCUACGUGUAGAGUCUUGACGGUACUGUAGGAAUAAGGAUCGGCUAACUCCGUGCCAGCAGCCGCGGUAAUACGGAGGAUCCAAGCGUUAUCCGGAAUCAUUGGGUUUAAAGGGUCCGUAGGCGGCCUUAUAAGUCAGUGGUGAAAUCUCCUAGCUCAACUAGGAAACUGCCAUUGAUACUGUAGGGCUUGAAUUCUUAUGAAGUAACUAGAAUAUGUAGUGUAGCGGUGAAAUGCUUAGAUAUUACAUGGAAUACCAAUUGCGAAGGCAGGUUACUAAUAAGACAUUGACGCUGAUGGACGAAAGCGUGGGGAGCGAACAGGAUUAGAUACCCUGGUAGUCCACGCCGUAAACGAUGGAUACUAGCUGUUCGGACGCAAGUUUGAGUGGCUAAGCGAAAGUGAUAAGUAUCCCACCUGGGGAGUACGCACGCAAGUGUGAAACUCAAAGGAAUUGACGG